rnacentral:lncRNA from 1 species
UGUAGGAAGUGUGUUGACAAACUCCCCCUUAACAUAAGCUCCCCCUUGAGUUAUGCUCGUGAAUGACUUGAUCUUCAAUGCCUGAGAUCCUUGUGGAGUUGAUGAUGGUCAGCGGCAACUCGAUUAUCUUCAUCUUUUGAGUGCCUUCACGUCGUGUCUUCAUUCCGAAGCUUGUCAUCGACUAUGUUCUCCUAGCCUUUAGAAUCUGCACAUGCAAGAAAUCUAAACGCGUAAUGAGAACAACUGCUUGGAAUAUAGUUAACAUAAACAAAUGACACACGUAUGACGAUGUCACAAUCAAACACGUCCAACAAUUUGAAAGUUUAAUAAAUUCGUCAGUUUUAGAUUUAACUUUCAAAAACUCGCAAAUUUCGACCGUUUAUGAAGAUUUUGUCAAUUCGGUUUUUGUUCAGGUUUCAGGUAGCAAAGACUCGAGCUCCAACAUCGUACGAUCGAAAAUAAAAUGGAAAUAAAAUCUUUUUGGUAUUUUUGAAUUUUUCAAAAGUAAAGACUGAAAGCAGUAAAUAAAAAUAUACAGACAUUCUUUUUGCGAGUUUCGAGGGUAAGAGAAUCAUAUCAGUGUACGGUCACGCCAAAACACUCUUGUUGUUCAGUUAGUUAACAUUAAGAUAAGCAUCCUAUAACAAUUAUCGGUAUUGUUGUCCACUUAAACUCAACUUAUCAGAUGUAAUCAUGGCAAGGGGAUACGUUAAGGUAUGAUUUAUACUUACCGACGGUGUUCAUCCACAUCACGACACAUUCCCGUAUCAAGGUAUGCACGAGGGUUCAUCUUACCGGUGGGUAUACCGAUUAUCAUCUGUUUGACCGUAUAUGAUGUGAGUUCUCACUUAUUUUGAUUUGAAAACAAGCCCUAUGUGAUAUAAUCACUUAUUGAUGAGGAACUUGAUUUUCAUAUGCAUGAGGGCACAGGAGCAAGUCCGUGAACAGGUCAGUACUUUUGUACAGCAGAGAGACGAACUUGACUCCCGGAUAAAUGUGAUAUUUUAUCACUUAUUUGAUUUGGACAUGUGAUUGUUUAUCACUUAUUGAGGUCGAAUGCAGUAUGUAAUAUGUACACGUAUGUAUAGUAUCAUGGAAGAUCUAGACUUGCGUCCCCAUUAUUUUUCGGUAAAAGAUACAACCAUGAUACCCAUAUGAUAAGCAGCAUAAAGACCGAAUAUCUCAGAAUCUCGGCAAUCUAUCAAACGAAAUUUCGGUACUAAGACCAUAUGCCAAUGAAUGGUUCCCACCUGAUCUUCAGUCGAUUUAAGUUUAUAUCACCCUGCACACUUUAAAAUGAUUGUGAGCCUACCGAUACAUCUUAUAUAGAGCUGCUUAUCGUUUUUCAUUUAAGGUUUAAAGAGGUUUGAAUAGACCACUGAUGUACUAUCAUUUUCUCUUUUGCUCGCCAGGAAACUCAUUUUUGUUUUUCUAUUAUUUUUGGAUUUACUCCCCCUAAAAUCAAUAAACUAAGAUAAAUUUAAAAACACAAAGAUAUUUACAAAAAUGAUUUUCCGAUGUUGGUAUACUCUUGCUUGACCUUAAUGCCAUU